GAACCUGAGGCCCGAGAGGAGUGGCCCGCGCUGGCCCCUGGUUUCCAAGGGCGGCCGGCUUCUUCCAGUGUAGCAAGGCCCAGGGCAGUUACAGCUGAAGUUUUCAUAGACUGUUCUGCAGAUGAAGUUUGGCAUCUUGGGCAUCUCCUCUUACCUCUUAAGACAGGAAGCACUCAUCCUGAGGAUAACAAACUCCCUAACCCUGCCUCCCCUCAUCUCUGAGGAUUCCAGACCUUCUUAUGGCCGAAGAGAGUACUUCUGAUAACACAGGAGAGGAGGGAUGGAAGGAGGGAAAGAAUAAGCAUUUACAUAACACCUACUAUGUACCAGAUUCAUUUCCUGAAUUGUGGGCUUUAUUAUCUGAAACAAGAAGGCACAAAUUGUAAGCUGUGUACAAAAGACAUGACCACCCAGAAUCUCUUUGCUCAACAUACACACAAUAAAUGCCACCUCAGAGAGAGGUGGUAUAAGCAACUUAAUCAAUCACUCCCAUUAAAGCCUGGGCAUUCUGUUGGGUGCAGACAUACCCAAAGUCUGAUCAAAACAAGAUCUAAGACUUCUAGAAAAGCU